UUUAGUUAACUAGUCAAGUCACCUAUAGCACUUUAUACAAUACAGAUUGUUUCAAAGCAGCUUUACAGUGAUAAACAGGAAAAUAAUGAUUCAAUUUAAAUUCUACUGUAAUGAAGCUCUAUAAAGAUAAUAGCAAAUAGUAAAAGACAAUAGGCAAGGAACACAAACACAUCAGUAACAGAAAUGGAGAAAAAAAAAUCAGGCCAGAACAAUCCAUUUACCCAUGCUAUGCCCCCAUUUAAGCCACUACACUUUGAAAACAAAAUUAUACUUGCACUUUAGUGGUAAAAUGUCAUCUGAAUAGAGCGAAUUGAAGGUGAAAUGCCGGCUCACAUAUGUGUCUAGUCAUGCUUUCUUCUCAUCCAUCACAUUUAGAGUCCAGAUGUGACCUAGUGAUACAGAGCCGUCGUACACACACUGAGAUGAUUGAUUGGUCCACCUCUGUCCAUGAUAAAGGUGAUAUUUAGGAUUCUUUUCUUUUCCCGAGGCAAAAGCAUUCAAUAUGAUUUAUGGAAGGAAAUAAAAGGCGCUUCUUUGACUAUAAACUACAUCAUUAUUUUGGCCAUGAGAAACUGUCUAUGGAAUUAUUGCUGUAGUUUGUGAGACCAUUAAGAAGCUGAGAAUGUUUUGAAUAAUAAGUCAGUGUGCUAUGAAGUUCCCAGUAUUUAAUCAUAUCAUAUUAUUUUGCGUUAUCUUGCAGAUUUGGCCACUGUACAGACAGUAAGUUGCCAUUAUUUUGCUAGUCCUGAAACAGGAAAUGUUACAUUACCUGUUUACUGCUGAUGCCUUUCUGUGUUUUAUUAUAUUAAUCUCCCUCUGGGCUUCUAGACCAAAAAGUGUGCUCAUUCGGAUAAAAACGUAUGGAUUAUCGUAUAUUUACUUUAAAUAUCUUUAGAGAGCAGUGUUUUCUUAUUCUGUUUUUACCCAAAAUAGGAGGAUGUGAGCAUUAUGGAGCACUUAAAGGGUUAGUUCACCCAAAAAUGAAAAUUCUGUCAUUUAUUACUUAUGCCGUUCCACACCCGUAAAACAUUCUUAAUUUGUGUUCCGAAGAUUAAUGAAGGUCUUACGGGUGUGGAACGGCAUGAGGGUAAGUAAUAAAUGACAUUAUUUUCAUUUUUGGGUUAACUAACCCUUUAAGUCUCACAUGUAAUGUCUGUUUCAUUCAUACUCAACGCCGGAGGGCGCCCUCGACAAGUGAGUCUCAUGAGUAAUAAGUUCCAGGAAAUCCCUAAUAUGGACAAACAAAGGCUUCCAGCAAUCCUGUAAUAGAUGAAAAUAAGAUGCAGACAUUUUGACGGAUUAAACAUGAAGAGAAUCAACACAGCAUUGCGACAGUAUAUGAAUUAUCCGUGUUCUUCAAGCCAUCUCAGACCGCUGAAGAGCCAUAAUCGCAUGUGACGUAAAUCAAGUCUUCUUGCCCGAGGCUCGUGUGUAUCAGCUCAAUGCAGCAGGAGAAAGAAGCUCAUACAACUUCGGAGUGACAAGAGGCACAACCACAUGCUCCCAUCUGAUGACCCCUGAUAUCCUCCUGUCUGACCAUCCUGAACCUCCGUCCCCCUCCUCUCUGCUCCUCCUCUUCAUCAUCUUCAUCAGCAGCAGCAGCAGCCGUCUGCCGUGUCUCUCCCUGUCUCUCCCUGUCCCUCCUGUGCAUCUCCGGCAUCCUCUGGUUUAAUUAAAUGGCCAGGCACGCACACACACACACACACACACACACACAUACACACACACUCACUCACUCACUUUCUCUCUCUCUCAAGUGCUGCUGAUGAUAUACCCAGCCUUAAAGGGAUAGUUCACCAAAAAUUGCUGUUAUUUUUCUGUGCAUCACAAAAGGAGAAAUUCUCAAGCAAACUCGUGCACUAUAUUCAUAGUUUUUGUGACUGUUAAAAAAGUAUGUUUCAUAUAGUAUGAGUGUAAUCCGGACGUGCUACAUUCGUCAUGUGACCUACAGCAUUAAUUGCAUCACUUCACUGCCAUUCACACAUCCUUUCCUGUGGCCUCAUGGGAUAGUAAAGUGUCCACUUGAUGCGCACUUCAGAAUCUUGCCAGAAGUUGUAGGUCAUGCGGGUACGUUUGCCUACCGUUUGUUUAUUAAACACUGUGAAUUCAGACAUCUUUCUCUUUUCACGUACCGUUUUUCACCUACUAUAUAGUAGUGAAGUGUUAUUUCGGAUACAGUUUGAUUUAAGAGCUGCUGCGGAGAGGAACAUUUUUAGUCACUAGCAAUAGCUUAAAUUUAGUUCUAUUCCUACAGUUUUGUUGUUCUUAAUUAAACUAGAACUAUCAAAAAUAAUUUUUGUUCAUUGAAAUAAAAUGUUAUUUUGAAAAACUUAAAUUAAAAUUUUAAAUUAAAUAUAACAUAAAGUUGAAGUACUAA